UACGAAGGGGGCUAGCGUUGUUCGGAAUUACUGGGCGUAAAGGGCGCGUAGGCGGUGUGUCAAGUCAGGCGUGAAAGCCCCGGGCUCAACCUGGGAACCGCGCUUGAGACUGGCACGCUAGAGUUCGGGAGAGGAUGGUGGAAUUCCCAGUGUAGAGGUGAAAUUCGUAGAUAUUGGGAAGAACACCGAUGGCGAAGGCAGCCAUCUGGACCGACACUGACGCUGAGGCGCGAAAAGCGUGGGGGAGCAAACAGGG
rnacentral:rRNA from 1 species